rfam:Cuculus canorus isolate BGI_N303 unplaced genomic scaffold scaffold15, whole genome shotgun sequence.
CUCUGGUUUCUUUUCAGAUAGUAUAAAUCUUUCGCCCUUUACUAAAAAUUUCCAUGGAGAGGAACACUAUAUGAG